CUGGGAAAGGCAGUCAAGUGUGGAGAAGGUGGAGAGAGGAGAAAAGGAGGGGAGGCCAAGGUAAGAAGUGAGCAAGCAAACAAAUGUGAAAGGAAGUACAGAUAAUUGCCUCCUGUCCCAGGUGUGACUUUCAAGAAGUGCUUUUAAUAAUUAGUUGGCAUUUAGCACACAACAAGAAUCCAAAGCAGAGGGAAAAUAACCCAGUUGUGUAUUCAGGAGGCUUCUAUUUAAAGUUCUACUAGCUAUGCUUCCUGCCUAUAUAAUCUAAAAGAACAAAAUGCACCCACUGGAUCUUACAAGGAAAACAAAAACACAAAACAACAGCUAUAUUUACGGUUGGGUUGGUUUUUUGGAUGCCUUCCUAUGACCAAAAGCAUUCUGGAACAUUUUCCUCUAUUCUAUUUCCUUAGCAAUAUGCUUUUUUUCCAGUUGAUAAAUGCUGGUCCCAGGAGUGAUGCACAGCGACAAGAACACCACAAUGCAGCAUUCAGUUUAACACCUCAUUAACAGAAGGCCAGUAGGAAUAGGGAUAAUUUCCCCUCUCGGUCUGUGUCCUUGUUUAAGCCCCCUCAUGCUGUAGUGACCCACUGGUGAACAGAUUUAAGUUGUGCUGUGAAUCAAACGAAAUCUAAAAACCAGCUGAAGCUUCACUUCUUCCCUUGUGUCAUAGGUUGACCUUAAGGAGAGGAACAAUGUGGGGGCAAUUCCUGUACAUGCAGAGCCAAGGACCUUGCACUCACCACAUAUGAAACAAGUGGUCUUCAGUAUUUCUUCUUUCUUUUGCUUCUCGCUCCUCAGAUCAGCAAAGGUGUCAAUAAUGACCCCAAAGAUGAGGUUCAGGACAAUGAUAAUGACAAUGAAGAAAAAGAGGAGGUCGUAGACAACCCGAGCAGGAAACAAGGACUCCUGUGAUGGACAAAAGGGAAAAAACGUGUCUUGCAAACCUCCCUUCCAUCUGCGCUGCCUCAUUGCAAGGACUGUAGGCUGAGGGUACAAGAGUGGCUUGGAUUGGAAGGGACCUGAAAGAUUAUCUAGUUCCAACCCUCCUGUCAUGGGCUGGGUAAUCAUCGCACUGAUAUCCCAACUUUGUUCAGAGAUAGUUGCCAGUUUUCCAGGUAAGAUGCCUAAAAACCAUAUUCUCAUCCUUUGAAGUUAAGAGAGCCUUGGGUGCAACCACCAACCAGCUGCUUUUGCAAGGGUAUUCUCUCUUUAAAACAUCCAGAUGUUUUGACUUUAAUCUCCAAGCUAUUGUAUUGUAGUCCAAGUAUAUUACAAAACUGUACUUUAUUCAAAUAAUCUAAGCAUAUUUCUUCCACACUAACUUAUCUCUGUGACUGUAAAAGCAUACCAAAAAGACUUCAAAUGCAAAGAAGAUAAGUAAAAGCCUAACCCAAAACCCUCUGUUAUGAUCGACACACAAGCUGCUUGUUUUUUUAACAGCCAGAGCAAGUUUCAUCAGUGUCAUCCAUCUUUUGCUCAAGUUUCAGUAAGACUUCUGCAGCGCUACAGAAUUCAUUCCUAUCUGCCCACCUCCUUUUCUGCAGUCCCUCCAACCCCCAGGCCUUGUUUUCUGCAGCAUCAGGGCUCUAUGUCAGUGCAGGCAGACUCUUCUCUGCCAGCCCCAAAACCAGCUCUCCCAAGAGUGUGGGACCACACAUCAAUGAUUGCACGCAGUGAUGCAGCCACAGAGAAGGACCCGUGCUCUGCUGGUCCCCUUCCAGCCCAAGCACCAAGGACAGCAGUCCAUGGCUUGGCUUACCUUGGGCUUUGCUGUCCGGCAGCCGGUCCACCUCCAGGAUGAAGUCAUCCUUCAGGAACAAGAAGCCCACAAUGGAGAAGAGGUAGACAAGGAUGAGCGCCAGGAGGGCAGUCAGCAGGAUGGAGCGCCCGUUGCGCGUCACGCUCUUGAUGACAUUAAACAAGGUCUCCUCACGGUAGAUCAAGUCAAACAGCUGAAAGGACCCAGGAGCAAAGAAAUGCUGCAGGGUGCUUUUCUGUGACAAUGCCUGGCCUACCUAUGCCCCUUUUAUCCCGAGAUCUAGGAUCACUCAGUAGACACGGACUAACUUUCACAUAAAGUACUCAAGUUUUCCGUCUUACUGCAGAAGAAUGAAGUGAACUUAAGCACAGCAGGAGAGCCAAGAAUAGGACGCAUGCCCCCUGCCUCUGCCCUCACCAGCUCACGUUGUCUCCCAGCUGACCCAGAUAAAGUACGCAGCAGAGAUUAGAAAAAGACUGAUAGAAAAAGGCUGGGAGAGAGACAGUAAUAGAUGCUGUUGGAAGGCAGAAAGAUCAGCCUACGCAAAUAUUGGAGCACGGGGCAUUGUUCUCACUGCUGUUAUCGAUCAAUGCCUGGAAGGUGUCGCAGGAAACUUCUAGCUCCUAACAGCACUGCCUGGCUAUGUCUGUGCCCCAAACAUUUACUGUACCAGGAUGCUGUAGAAGAGUUCAUGCACAAAGAGCCCCAGGACACUCGUCAGGAUGUAGCCAACGUGGUAAAGAAACUCCACGUCCAUGAUCAUGGCCUUGUAGCCUCGGAUGAAGGUCCCACGGUUACCCACAAAGCUCACCACAAACACAAUCUUGUUGGUCAGCUGGAGAGCAAGCAGAAAUGGGAGGGAGUGAGGUUUGCUGAGCUUUGUGAGUGCAGAACAGCCUCCUGUGGCAUGGGAUGCUAUGCUAUUUUUCUAGCAGCGCUCUGAGAACUUACAUUGAGAGCUCCCAGGAUGUUCAGUGUGAGUCCAAUCCCCAAGUAAUAAAUUGAUCUCAAGAUCAGGGCCACCAGCAGUGGUCUGACACCGUACCGCUUGGUGAACAGGGCCAUGAUGGAGAAGCAGAUCAGAAUCCAGAAAAGCAGUGAGAUCAAUGGGGAAUCCAGCACUCCUGGGAAGAGAUGACCCACAGCAAUUAAAUGGCAUGAGGUUAAAUGCAUGUUGACAGUCAGACAUUGUGUUACUGUCCAAAGCAUCCAGAAACCCAAUAUGCUGAUUAUCUGAGGGAAGGAAGACAGAAACUGUGCUUGACUGCAGAGAGAUGGUCCCUACUGAUAUGCUUUUCUAACAUCUUUUAUCUGAGAUCACAAAACCACUGUAGAUCAUUAAGAUUUCCAGACAGCUGGUACGUAUUCUGUCCUUACUUCCCCUAUUUUCCAAACAGGGAAAGUACAGCCCAAGGAGAAGAGCCUGUUCCCUAAGAAGGAAGUCGUGGGAGGGCUGGCAACUGAAACCUCAAUUCAGUCCCUUGCCAGGACCAGCAGAAAAAGCUUUAGGAGUCAAGAGGAGACAAAAGCGGAACACAAGGAAGGGGACAGUGCUCCCUGCACACCAGAAUCCCCGUUUUCCUCCACUUCGAGGAGCAGAAGUUGCUGGGGCACUUACCCAUGGAAGUGGCCUCAACAUAAGGGUAGAAGAAAGCAAUGAUUAUGUUGAUGAAGACAGCCAGGUUGAAGGAAAUGCUUCCCCAGAGAGUCAUUCUGCGGGAGAACCAGUACAUCAGCGGCAUGCCUGCGGGGAGAGGAGGCAGACACACAUCUCAGCCAACCUGGUGCCAGCAGGGAAGGCUGUGACCUCCCAGGCACCCAAACUGAGCUCAGCACAGCCAGUGAGACCUCGCUUCAUGCCAUUGAUAAAAGCUCCCUCUUCAUCUCUUGUAACAGGAACGCAAGUUCAAAAUGUCUCUGCUCACAUUUUGUGGUUUCUGGGCCCUUUGACCUCCCCUGGCACCUUGGAAUCAGAUUGGCUUCACUCAUCACCUCACCCUCCUCACUGUCUCCCACCUCUUACAUCCUCACGCCCUUCCUAACAACAGUGCCUUUGUGUUUGCAGCCUGAUUCUCUGUCCCAGAGGAGACACAGCCAGCAAUUUCCCAUCCAUACUGGAAACCUGCUUCCUGCUGAAUUCCUAAGAUAGUUUUGACUGGAUCUGCAAGUGUUUUCAGUGCUGCCGUGCUACCUCUGAGCCACAACACAGUAUUUAUAGUGUGCCUCCUAACUGUUGACUGAGCUCCUGUUAUUUUAAGCCAGGAAGUUCGUCCCCGUGCAGCCCUGAAAGCACCUAAAGAGAUCUGCAUGGUGCAGAGAAAGCAGCUUUAUCAACAAAAUGUAGCUGCUAGAUGCUGGCUUGGGAGAAGCCAACUGAAAGCAAACAAAGAGAGGGCUCCCUAGGUGAGCACAGCUGCAGGUGUGGAAUGUGUCAGAAGAUGUUCUCAGGCUGUGAGGAAUUGCACUAACAGGUGUGGAGAAAAUACACCUCCCAGGGGCACAGGGAGAUUUCCAGGCUGCCACUGGGGGUCACAGCCCCCUCAAAGCACGGCUGCCCGGCUCACAGCUGCUCUGCUGCAAAGGGAAGGUCUGGCUCGCUCUUACUGCGCAGUUUCUUCUGCCACUCCAUCUCGUUGUGGAGGAAGGAUGACUGGUCGAAGAAAUCACUGACUUUGCUGCCCUGCUCAUCCUGCUCUGUCGUGGUGAAGAGUCGGUACUUGGUCUCCUUGGUGAGGAACUCGCAGAUGCCAGGCACUGGGAAGAUUAUCUGCUCCAUGCUGCGGUCCAGGCGCACAAUCUGCAGGAAGAAAAUGCCCUUACAUCCUGCCCGUAUCGUGCUGGGCUUCCUGCUUUUCUACACCCAGCCAUACCUCCCCAAAUCCAAAUAUCACCACCGCUCAUCUAACACUACGACUCGACCCAGCAAACACAUCCUUGCAUGGCUAUGCUGGGAGGAACAAGCAAGGAUAGGGCUGCCCCACUGCCUGCAUCCCAUCUGCUCUGGGGAGAGGGAGGAAGGGCCUGGGGGGUCCACAUGUACCCCCAUCUCCCUAUGGGCUCUGCUAACGUCUCCAGCUCUUUGCAGCUGCUUCCUAUGGGCACCGGGCUGGGAAGGCUCCUGGUGCAGAAUAACGGGGCACGAGACAGCCGGAGCACACGUGGGAUCCAUCAGCUGUGUGUAUUAGCAGCCCAAACAGGUCUUGCCUCAAUCUGGGAUGUGUGCUUCUCGUAGUACGCCAGCGGGUCCUCCUCCUCCUCCUGGACGGGGGCCGUCGACUUCAGCAUCUGCGUCAGCUGCUUGUUAUUGAGGCUGAGCUGGGAGAGAAGAGAGGGUGAGAGCGGGGACAGCUGGGGGGGUUGAAGUCUAACUGCACUGACAACAUCGUUCCUCAAAUUGUACCGAACCUGAUGAGGUUUCAGGGGAAAGCAAAUGAAUUAAAGCUUCCCAAAGGGGUACGAGCGCUCCCUGAGGUGACAGACAUUCGAUUCCCUGCAAUAAUUACAUCCAAAAGCUGCUAAUCCACAAAUUACAAAUCAAUGCUCCUAAACCCCAAGGAAAUCAUAUUACUGCUGAAUCUCAUUCGGGAGCCGCGGUACAGUGGGAAGAAAUGGUAGCAGAGGACUCAGCUCUUCCUUUUCUGAAGGGAAGGGCAGGAGGAGGGGAGUAGGGGGAAACCUGGCAGGGCACAGCCCGUCCCUGUGGCACACAGGAUGUCACCUAGGGCUGAGCCUUCCCCAGGGAGCUGCACUCACACGGCUGGGCUACAACAGAUGCAUGUGCCAUUGGGCUUGCUGAUUUGGCUACAUGGGCAUUUAUAAACUUCUGUUUCUCCAGUUCACCCUGGGAAUACCAAAAGCCACCAAAUCUUGGCUGAUGAGCAGCGGGGCAGCCCCCAUGCCCAAGGACUUUCCAUACCAUGGAUGAGAUGCCCUCCUCCUCUUCCUCCUGGAUUCGCUUCACUGGCUUCAGAAGCUGCUGCAGAGACUUGUUGUGUCGGGACAGCUGGAAGGGAACAACAAGAGCUGCGUUAGCAUGGGAUGGAGCAGCCUCUGCAGCACUCAAGUGGGAUGGCCAAUAAGCCAUAAUGCUGGGUUUUCAUGGAAGGCAAAAAGCACAUCCCCCAGCCUGGCUGGAGGAAAUGUAGAUAAAUAAGAUGUGCAAAUGGAUGAAUGGGAGCCCAGCCUGGUGGGUCACUGCUGUCACAGAAGAUUGCAGCAUCAGUACCUGCAGUGCCAGUAUAUAAAUGUUGUGGCCAACUUCCCGAGGG